UUAAUUUUAUAAAUAUUUGAAAUUUAUAAUAAAAUGACAAAUUUGUGUUUAAUUUCACGGGACGGGUUAUAUGGUGUGACGGGUUUGAGUGGAUAAUAACAUGGGAUAGUAUGCUAUGGAGAAAAACAUAUAAUGACAAUCAUAAUAUAAUUAUAUAAUCUUAAACACUAAACAAAAUUAACAAUAUUAAAAAAAAAACACUUAAAACUUUAAUUUUUUUAAAACACAUUUUGAUUCUUUUAUAAGAAAUUUAAAUAUUAUAAAUAUUUAAACUUUAUACUACGGGUUAAAUUUUAGAAUUGACUGUUUGGGUUGAUAAGAAUUUGCGAUAGAACUAGGAGUUAAAAUGACAAUCAAAAUAUAAUUAUACAAUUAAAUACUACCACGAGUGAAAUCCUAGAAUUGACGAGUUUGAAUCGAUAUUAAUAUAGGAUGGUGUACUACGGGUGAUAUUUUAGAAUUGACUGGUUUGGGUUGAUAAUAAUUUGCGAUAGAAUUAGGAGUGAAAUCCUAGAAUGACAAUUAAAAUAUAAUUAUACAAUUAAAUACUACCACGAGUGAAAUCCUAGAAUUGACGGGCUUGAUUCGAUAUUAAUAUGGGAUGGUGUACUACGGGUGAUAUUUUAGAAUUGACUGGUUUGGGUUGAUAAUAAUUUGCGAUAGAAUUAGGAGUGAAAUCUUAGAAUGACAAUUAAAAUAUAAUUAUACAAUUAAAUACUACCAAGGGUGAAAUCCUAGAAUUGACGGGUUUGAUUCGAUAUUAAUAUGGGAUGGUGUACUACGAGUGAAAUCCGAGAAACAACAAUCAAAAUACAAUUAUACAAUAUUAAACAUUUAACAAAAUAAACAAAUACAACUUAAAACUUUAAAAUUUGAGUUAUAAAAUUUCUUCUCGCGGUAAAUUAUACAUUAAAUCAAACAAUAGCAUAAAUUUAUUAAAUUAUCCUAAAAAAUAUUCAAUUAUUUUUUAUUUAAUAAAAAUAUAGACCCGCAGUAUACCGCGGGUUAAUAUCUAGUAGAUAAACUAUUUAUUUUUCACUAUCAUUAUUAAACUUUU
rnacentral:sRNA from 1 species